GGCUCGGCGGGCCUGAAGUAGGAGGCCCGGCCCCGCCGCUCCCGGGACAACCCACAGGCCGGGGCCUUACGGAGGGGAUGGGGGCAGCGGGGAUAGGGCUCUGCAGCCAGCAGCAGGCCCGUCAGUCGUCGUGGGGGUAGCGGGAAGAGCGAAACAGAGCGCCGGGCUGUGCGGCUAUGUGAGCCUGAGGGCCUGGGCUGAGCCGUGUUUCCCCCGUCUCCGAAUAAAGGAGCGUUGGGGCGGGGAAAAGAUUCCCGGUGGGAGGUUUUUUUCAGUCCGGAGGAGGCGUUUGCGUGGGCUUCUGGGGGAAAAAUGGGCAGGUUUUUGAAAGAGAAAGUAAUUGCAGGCUAUUAAAGUAGCGGUCUGCGUCAGGCUUGGGAAAUGUCCCGAGCUGAAAAUAACUGGAGGCUUGGACAUACAUGCACGGCCUGUUCCUACUUCUCCUUGGAUGUUCCCUUGUAGCCGGGGCUGGAGGUGGAAAUAAAUAGAUGGAUCCCUGCUCCAGCUGAUAGUGCAGCCAUUCUAGUCUGCAGGUCAUAGGUUUGCCCAUGUAGCCAAAAUGCCUCUGAAUCAGGCCUCUUUUGUAAAAUGGCAGAAAGAUUAGGCUUGCAGAUAGGUCCCCGUAACAAAAACUAGGUUUCUGUACAGAAUCCCAGUGAAAAUUUUCCAUGGGCUUAAAGCGGUCUAUUUACGUGUACUCGGUUGAAGAAAUGUAGCCUGGUGGUGUUUUCCUACGUGGAUAUUUGAGAUGGUGGUGUGGUUUAACUCCAGUAGGCAGCUAAGCCUUACACAGCCCCUUGCUUGCUCGCUCCCCCCUGCAGCAGGAUGAAGGAGAAAACUGGAAGAGUAAAAGUGAGAAAACUCGUGGGUUGAGAUAAAGAACCAACAAGCAACAGUCAGACACCAGGUGGUGCCGAAGACCAGCCAGAAAAGAAAGUGAAACGAGGGCAAGGAGUGUUCAGAAGGUGCAAAGAACAACUGCCAGAUACUCAGUUUCUGGUUUCAGUAAGUUAGGGGCAAUGUACGGUAACGUCAGCAGUGGGGCAAAAUUAGAAACGAAACCAGCUGCAGAGGUGAAGAAUGAUACAAAAAUAUGUCAUGAAUGAGCAGUAAUUUCUGUUCUCAUCGUAUAGCUUUCAUAUUCUGAUUUGCUUUUACAACAAACUUAACAGCUACAGAGCAAAAAUAGCACGGAAAGGUGUAGAGUUAAACUGGGAGGGUACGUACAUCUGGUUUUAUUUAGCAAUGUGCAAGGCCAAUAACACUGUUUGAAAUGUUAAAUGGAAGGUAGGGAGUUAAAAUGAAGCCUACAGCCAAAAUGAGCUUAGCCAAGUAUCAUCCAUAGUUUAGGCCUUUGGCUGAGUGGAUUUGGGGAAAUCUCUCUGCCAAACCAGGGUAAUGUGAGUAGCUUUUUGGCAGAGCCCCUUUGACACACCGGGGGGCUUUUCCUGACAGGACACAUAGGACUGUGUGCCACGUGCCAUCUUGCUCCACAUCAGGUACCGAAAAUCAAGACGGUUUGAAGCCAUUUGUUGAAUGAGGAAGGAGGUUGUUCCUUUUAUCUUUUAUUCCCCAACAAAACAGUGUCGGAGCUGCUGUUGAGCAAGAGGAGUGGUGUCCUGUAGAUCUGUUGGUGGUGACAGGGGAAUGGUGGUUUUCAUCUAUUUAAGAGUGAAUAUGUUAUAAAUACCACAGUAAGAGGCAGAAUAUAGGGUAGGGAAUAUCGAAGAAGGGAAUAAUCCUGUGUGUUCCUUAGGGAAUUUUAUGUGGGGAAAAUUGUAUCACCCAAACCGAGGAGUAUUCUCCAGCAGAGCAACAGAGUAUUCACGUGUUUGAGAAUAUGUUGCUGCGUUGCCUCUCACAGAUACAACACAGGCUUCAAGUGACUCUACUCUUCACUUGAUGUAGUGCUACCUUGGUGAGGUGUUCUGCUGGUCUGGAGAACUUGGUUACAUACAGGUGACGUUGUGGUGUUCUGCAUGUGUAGGUGACACUGGACUUUGCCACGUUGCACCCUGAGGAACAAUUUGUGCAGGCACAGGGUGAUGUUUGUGUGUGACAUCAGUCUGGGGGAACGGACAUUUCCUGCUGCACCAGCACAGGGCACCGAGUUCCUCGGGUCAUGGUGCGACUUCCAAAAGCUGACAUAGUUGUCUUUGAACAAGGAACACGGCGUUAGUGGUUGUUUUAAGGGUUGCUUUGAGAAAGCAACUGCAAGUGUUUUAAUAGUCUGUGGCAUUCAGAUGCCUGGAUCCUUACUCGCGUUUCUGCUCGCCGAUUUCAUGGAAUGGUUAGGGUUGGAAGGGACCUCAAAGAUCAUCGAGUUCCAGAUUUAAAUCCUUUUCCUGGCAGAGCAGACACUAUGAUCAAGAAGUCAUUUUCCCAGGAUGCGGUUCAUCCUCUGUGCCACACACAUGUUGACUUCUUUGGUUUCAGCUCAGCCACAUUGUUUCAGGUAGUGGAGAGCUGCAUUUUUGCUCUACCUUGAUUGAAAACCAUAAAAAAAAAAACCCACACACCAACCCCCCUAUGCACACUUUAACUCUUUUUUUCCUAAUUACAAACUGAACAUUUACCCAAAUUGUUGCUGAUGAAUAAUCUUUGAAUGUCAUAUAUUAAUAUUGUAAGUAGCUAGAUAAUGGAAGUUACAUGUUCUACACAAAGUGGAUAAAUUGUGUAUUUUGCCUGAAGGAAGAACACAUGGUGUUGCCUUUUUCUGUAUUGAUAGAGGUCAACAACCCCAUUACUGUUCUGUUUCAGUACAACAUUAUUUUCCAUGUGUUCAUAAAGUAAUAAUGUAAUAAGAAGAUAAAAACUUCCCUUGGGGUGUUCUAUGAAACAGCCACUUCUGACUCUAUCUAGUAAAUACAUUUUCUUAAAAAAAAAAAAAAAAACAAAAUAAAAAUCAAACAGAUUGUUUGCUAAACUGAGACUACAACAGGAUUUACUUAAGUGAAAGUAAUUGUGAAAGAAGCUAACUGUAUGCAAACAUGAUUCAUACGGUAUUAUUUUUCCACUUCCUGGUAUAGGUGCUCAGCUGGAAAGAAACUUGAUGCCAUAAACUUAUAUGGGCUACUAUUGUCACAGCAGGGGGCAGGAGGAUCUUGACUUCUAAGGUGGAAGCCCAGGACCCAGCUCCAUCGAUCAUGUCUCUACUCCUGGAGCUUUGAGCAGCAGAUAAUAAUGAGGACAAAAGCUUUCCCCAGGCCCCAAGCCGGAGCAGCAAAUGUGAAACCCAGCCGAGUUCCUGUUCCUGCAUCUGAUGCAAUAACCCCAUUAAGUUUCCUACAGGAGAAGUCUCCCUCUCUUCCAUGGGUGCUCCUCUGUGCAUGGCAGGAGGAUCCAGCGUAUGUUUCCUGGAUGGGGCCAGGAGCGGAGACAAUAUUCACAAAAAAUGUACGAAUUGGACCCUUUAUGAUUUUUAUAGCAAUAAAAGCAAACUCUGACAGCAACGUAAUCUGCUGAUCUUUUAAAGGCUUUUUUUUUUCAGGUGUAGACACCAGUGUGGAUCAGGAGGAGGUGGAGUGGCACCUCACAGCAAGAAACCAUCUUAUCUUAGAUGACACCUAUUGCAAGAAGCCCUGCAAGAGCUGAUCUACUCACUCCUCUGGAAAGCUGCUGCUAAUUUUCAAGCUUUAAAAUUAAGUUUUUUGCCUUCUGUUAGUCCAGCCAUGCUAUUGGAAACCCUUUCAAAACAGCUGCAUCUCUGAUGCUAAGAAGUAUUUCGCUCUCGGAUUCACCUCACAUGCUGCUCCUCAUGCCGGUAACUCAGUCAUGGAAUGGUUUGGGUUGGAAGGGACCUCAAAGAUCAUCCAGUUCCAACCCCCCUGCCAUGGGCAGGGACACCUCCCACCAGACCAGGUUGCUCAAAGCCCCAUUCAGCCUGGCCUUGGUCCAGACCUUACUCAUAGGAGUAAGUACCACCAUAAAUCUGGACAUUCCAGCCAAAAGACUUCGGUAUUUUAGUGUCUGGCUGGCAGCAAGACACUAAAAGAGUUGAUAUAUUUACUUAUUGAAUACCUGACGCAAUUAAGUAACACUGAAAAAAAAGGCUUAAAGGUGAAAUGUCAGUGUUUGCUCCUGCUGUGGGGGACUGGUGGUUUUCUUCAGCUGUAACAAGAUUUUAUCUGUUAAAGCUCCUUUAAAUAGCAUUUGUAUGGAAUCAGAGUCGGGGAAUAUAAAACCUCACGAAGAAGGGAAGGAAGAAAAAGCCCUCAAUGAAGUAGAACCAACCACACCUUCAUCAGAAAAAGGAUUUCCACAGUCAGACCCGAAACUCAUCCUGAAGAAAAAAAAAAUUAAAAAUUAUCAAACUAACCUAAUUCCUACCAGAGUAACCUAAUUCCUACCAGAGUCACUGGCGGUUACCGGAGCAGGGAAGUCAUUCCUGGCGCACGGCUAAUUCUGGAUCUGGCUUUGCUUAGUGCUCUGCACGUCAUCUGUUAGUUUUUUUCUUCUUUGACCUUGCCCAUGUUGUUACAACGAAAAGUUCACUUGGCAGCUGACGAGGAAAGGAAAACAAGACCCAUUGUAAAGCUGAGUGACUAAGUGAGAAAAUACACACCAAGCCAUUUGAAGGGCCUGGAAAACCCAAACAUGGAUUUACUCUGCUCACUGACCGAUUAAGCAAAAAAAAAAAAAGGCUAAAAGAACCCGUAAGAUUUCAUGUUCAUCAUCUAAAAGUUGGAAAGUGCCAGAAUUAGCAGAGAAUAUGCCCAAGAAAGCCUGGACUGGGAUCAAAAAGGCAGUACCACAGUUUCUGGCUGGAGAAGGACCAGGUGACUACCGAGGUGCACGUAGCUCACAAAGGGUUCAUGUGGACUUUGAGGGCCAGGGUGGCACCAGAGCUGCGCUGACAUGGACCUGGCAAGGGUUGCCAUUACUGCAGCAACGGAGGUUGGCAUGGACAGGGGAAGGGGCUGGAAACCCAGAGAAGCUGUGGCUUCUCCAUCCCUGAAGGUCUUCAAGGCCAGCCUGGAUGGGGCUUUGAGCAACCUGGUCUGGUGGGAGGUGUCCCUGCCCAGGGCAGGGGGUUGGAACUCAAUGAUCUUGAAGGUCCCUUCCAACCCCAACCAUUCUGUGAUUCUAAACCAUAGGAGGAGCACAAUGGUAUCAGUCUCCACCGUGGUGGCAUCGUGUUGGCCAUGUCUGCCCCAGGGAUGGCACACGUGCACCUGGGAACAAGGAGCCGCUUCAUGGAGCUCAGAGAAGUCUUCCCCCUCCAAACAAGCUGAAGCUUUCAGACAGAUAUUAACAAACAAACCCAAACAAGGUAAUUACCGCUUCCCUCAUGCUUGUAAUUCACCAGUCGUCCCUUUUUCAUCACAUGAAUGACAUCACAGGCAGAAAUUACUGCCCGAGGGCCUAGACUGGAACCGGCUCUGCAAUCACACUAAUGGGUCUCUCUGCAGACACAGCAGCAGAGGUUUUUUUUUUUUUUAAAUUAGCUUUCAAAUUAUUUUACCGAAUAAGAAAAGCCGUAAUUAAGAAGUGAAACGCUUCAACAACAACUCAUCACUAACAAUUAAAAACAUAGAAGUAAUCGUUUUAUUCUCCGGAUUUGACAACUUUAGCAGGGAAUUAGCAUCGAACGGAGGUGGCUGCAAAUAAAAUGCUAUCAAAAACCA